rnacentral:rRNA from 1 species
GACGAACGCUGACGGUGUGCUUUAGACAUGCAAGUCGAACGAGAAAGCCCUUCGGGUUAGUAAGUAGGCGAACGGGUGAGUAACACGUGGGCAAUCUGCCCCUCGCAGGGGGACGAACCGGAGGAAACUACCGGCUAAUACCCCGUAACGUUCAAAGGGAGGCAUCUCUCUUCGAAGAAAGGUAGCUUCGGCCAUCCGGCGAGGAUGAGCCCGCGGUGCAUUAGCUAGUUGGUGGGGUAACGGCCUACCAAGGCGACGAUGCAUAGCUGGUCUGAGAGGAUGAUCAGCCACACUGGGACUGAGACACGGCCCAGACUCCUACGGGAGGCAGCAGUCGGGAAUCUUGCGC